GCAUAAUUUGUAUGUGCAUGAUGCAUAUGUCUGAAAAUGAAAUGCGUCCGGUUAAUCGACUGCGCUGAUGGAAUGAAAGCAAACAACUAGGUCUGCCACCAUUGACCUGCCACUUAAUCAAGAGAUUUGGUGGGCUUAGAAGGUGCCGACUGCUGAUUGUGUUUUGAAAGAGCCACUGGUGGUGAGGACCUCAACAAUGCAAGAGCCAAUCUCCAAGUCUUUCAAUACUCCGGUGAGCAAGAGAACACAGUCAGAGGUUGCGACCUCCGAAUCAAGACAGCAACCCAAAAGGAGGAGAUCCAGUGUCUGUAGUGCUCAGCUGAUGGCUCAAGAAGAAAAACUGCAGAAAUUGAAGCUUGUUAGCCACUACAGGAAGAAUCAUAGCCUGCCGCAGCUGGAGCGGCUGACACAGUGCUGGACGAGGGCGGCCCAGCAGGCGCUGCGCGACCUACAGCAGCGGCUGCAGAGCCGUGAACAAGACGUCGCCAUGGCGGAUCUCCUGCGACACAUGGGCGUCGACCCCAAGCUAGUCAUGUAUGAUGCUGAGACGGACAGCU